CCGCGUGGGCCGCGGUGGGAGGCGCCGGUGGCAGGCUCCCGCGAGCCCCGAUGGGCCAACAGUUCCGGGGGGACGGCCGCAGGCCGCGAGUCCACGGGGUGCCAGGAGCUCCCCCUCCCCGGAACCCGACCCCGGCUGAGGCAGCAACGGUUUGCCCGGGCCCUCCCCCUUCUCUCCACGCCAGCGAAUCUUCCUGGACCAGAGAGCGACACGCUCCUAGACCCGGGCUUUCUCUCAGCUUUGAGACCAGGUGCUGGUUGGCAACGCAGAAGAGGCAAAAGUGAAGAAAGCGAAGACGAAGGGCAGCUGAAUGGAAACGGUUCGGGGGGUCUUCCCGGCUCCCAGCACCCCCAAGAAGAUGGCUGCCGAUAAAUCUCGCGAGAAUUGUUGAAGUGUCGCGGUGACUCCCGGAGCCUGCUGGGAAGAGACGUAAGAUCAGCGGAGAGCGCGCUAGGCAAGUACGGCGAAUUUUGCGUCUUUGCGUGGCUUGUGGGCCCUGUGCUUUUUCACGCCUUGAUUCUCUUAAGGAAUAAAGACUUCAUUUUUUUUUGCAAGGAGGGAAAGGCCGCUGAUUUCAGGAUCAGCGGGAACCCCAGCCCGUCCUCUGUAACAGACGGCGUGGCGCAUCGGCUGGAACGACCCUGCGACGGGAGCGCUCCUCUGAGAGCGUCCACUCGGAUGUGGCGGGAUGCAGGCGACCUGGGGAUUACAGAAGUGAAUCAAGAGCUGGACUUCCUUGGGGGCGCAGUGGUUAAGAAUCCGCCAGCCAAUGCAGGGGACACGGGUUCGAGCCCUGGUCCGGGAAUAUCCCACGUGCCGCAGAGCAACUAAGCCUGUGCGCCACAACUACUGAGCCUGCGCUCUAGAGCCCGUGAGCCACAACUACCGAGCCCACGUGCCACAACUACUGAAGCCUGUGCGCCUAGAGCCUGUGCUCAGCAACGAGAAGCAUGCACACCGCAACGAAGAGUAGCCCCCGCUCGCCGCAGCUGGAGAAAGCCCGCACGCAGCAAAGACCCAACGCAGCCAAAAAAUAAAUAAAUAAAUUUAUUUUUUUAAAUAAAAGUGAAUCAAGAGCAUGUUAAUAAA